UACGAAGGGGGCUAGCGUUGCUCGGAAUUACUGGGCGUAAAGGGUUCGUAGGUGGCCUGCUAAGUCAGACGUGAAAUCCCUCAGCUUAACUGGGGAACUGCGUCUGAGACUGGAAGGCUCGAGUGCAGGAGAGGAACGCGGAAUUCCAGGUGUAGCGGUGAAAUGCGUAGAUAUCUGGAGGAACACCGGUGGCGAAGGCGGCGUUCUGGACUGCAACUGACACUGAGGAACGAAAGCCAGGGGAGCAAACGGG
rnacentral:rRNA from 1 species